rnacentral:rRNA from 1 species
GACGAACGCUGGCGGCGUGCUUAACACAUGCAAGUCGAACGGAAAGGCCCUGCUUGCAGGGUACUCGAGUGGCGAACGGGUGAGUAACACGCGGGUGAUUUGCCCUGCACUUCGGGAUAAGCCUGGGAAACUGGGUCUAAUACCGGAUAGGAGCCAUUUUUAGUGUGAUGGUUGGAAAGUUUUUUCGGUGUAGGAUGAGCUGGCGGCCUAUCAGCUUGUUGGUGGGGUGAUGGCCUACCAAGGCGGCGGCGGGUAGCCGGCCUGAGGGGGUGGCCCGCCACCUUGGGACUGACGUGCGGCCCAGGCUCCUACGGGAGGCAGCAGUGGGGAAUAUUGCCGGAGGGGCGCAAGGCUGAUGCUGCGAGGCCGCGGAGGGGAUGACGGCCUUCGGGGUGUAAACCACUUUCGCUAGGGACGGAGCUUUUUGUGACGGUACCUAGAUAAGAAGCACCGGCUAACUACGUG